CAAACAUUUCAAAGCUUGGGGAAAAGGCAGCUCUUCAAUCCGUCUAGCUUUCUUUAGUAAUGUAAGAAUCUCUGGAAUUUUUUCAAACAUUUAUAUGACCGAUUGCAUUGGCAAACUCUACAACCACAUUGGAUUGCACUAUGCUGAAAUGAUGUGCUCCUACCAAGCUGGGAAAUACUUUAUGAAAGCCAUGCAAAUCUGCAAUGAGGUGCACUGAGAGAGAGAAACGCCCAAGGACAAAGUCUCUGCAAUUUAGCAUAUGCUUACAGCCAGCUGAAAAACUAUGACAUGGCAGAGUAUUACUAUCAAGAGGCAAUUAAUGCAUUUGUGGAUGUGGGUGAUUUAUAUGGCCAGCAACAAGUCUGUGAAGGAUUGGGUGCUACUAGUUUCUGCCUAGAUGACUCAGAUCAGGCCAUCUCUUAUUAUAAACAAGCUCUGACUCUGUUUGGAAAGUCAAAGGAAACAUCUGAUCUCUCCAGAGAAAGGGUUUUAGGGAAACUGAGGGUGCUGUUAAGUAUCAAACCAGUCAUCAGUGUCCUGUUUCAUGCAGAGAUAGCUUUUCAAACACAACAGCAGCUCAAUCUUCUCCCAAAGUUGCCAGAUAUGACCAUGGUUCUUUGGCAUCUGAACAAGAAACAUAUCUAUAUGAUGACCCACAGAACGAGUAUUCUGGUAACGAAAAGAAACAGAGAGAUGGAUGUACUGAAAGGAGUGUCACUUCCAGAACAGAUUCAAUGUCAUCUCACCUUAUUCCACAGUAACAAAGGUGCUGGCAGGUACUGUAGAUAUAGUUUUAAAAUGUUCCAUUUAUUUUAUAUUUAGGGUACAAACCCUCG
rnacentral:lncRNA from 1 species